rnacentral:tRNA from 2 species
GCGGGUGUAGUUCAAUGGUAGAAUCCCAGCCUUCCAAGCUGGUCGUGCGGGUUCGAUUCCCGUCACCCGCUCCA